AUUGAACGCUGGCGGCAUGCCUUACACGCGCAAGUCGAACGGUAACAGGUCUUCGGAUGCUGACGAGUGGCGAACGGGUGAGUAAUACAUCGGAACGUGCCCGAUCGUGGGGGAUAACGAAGCGAAAGCUUUGCUAAUACCGCAUACGAUCUACGGAUGAAAGCAGGGGACCGCAAGGCCUUGCGCGAACGGAGCGGCCGAUGGCAGAUUAGGGAGUUGGUGGGAUAAAAGCUUACCAAGCCGACGAUCUGUAGCUGGUCUGAGAGGACGACCAGCCACACUGGGACUUAGACACGGCCCAGACUCCUACGGGAGGCAGCAGUGGGGAAUUUUGGACAAUGGGCGAAAGCCUGAUCCAGCCAUGCCGCGUGCAGGAUGAAGGCCUUCGGGUUGUAAACUGCUUUUGUACGGAACGAAAAGACUCUGGUUAAUACCUGGGGUCCAUGACGGUACCGUAAGAAUAAGCACCGGCUAACUACGUGCCAGCCGCCGCCGUAAUAC
rnacentral:rRNA from 1 species